GACGAACGUUGGCGGCGUGCUUAAUACAUGCAAGUCAACUGAAGCAGUGGUAGCAAUAUCGCUGUGGAGGUGGCGCACGGGUGAGUAACACGUAGGUAAUCUGCCUUCAGGUCUGGCAUAACUCCGGGAAACCGGGGCUAAUAGCAGAUGAUGCAGCGGCUCGACAUCGAGACAGUUGUUAAAGCUAUGGCGCCUGAAGAUGAGCCUGCGGCUGCUUAGCUAGUUGGCGGGGUAACGGCCCACCAAGGCAACGAUCAGUAGCUGGUCUGAGAGGAUGAUCAGGCACACUGGAACUGAGACACGGUCCAGACUCCUACGGGAGGCAGCAGUAAGGAAUAUUGCUCAAUGGGAGAAAUCCUGAAGCAGCAACGGCGCGUGAGGGACGAAGGGCUUUUGCAUGUAAACCUCUGUAGUGAGAGAAAAAAAUCCCAAUCUUUGGGACAUGAUGGUAUCUCAAAAGUAAGCCCCGGCUAACUACGUG
rnacentral:rRNA from 1 species